UGAGAGUCACAUCUUAAAGUUCAAUUGUCAAAAGGAGGAUAUCAUUAACAUUCAAUAUCCAUGAUAAUUGCCUCCUGAAGGCUUUUGAUGCCAUGCUGAUGGUUUAUCUAUCUGAAAAUAUAGUAUGGCAGUGGUUGUGUUGUACUAGUAUCUGACUGGUAAUGGACUAGAUAAGGGCCAAUAAACUGAAGCUCAAUACAGGACCUUACAUGCCCUGGUAAAAUUACGUUUCCUAGGGUCCCUAGUGCCAGGGAUGCUGCCAUAGCAGCUUUUGUUCCAGACACCAGGGA